AGUGAACGCUGGCGGUAGGCCUAACACAUGCAAGUCGAACGGCAGCACAGUAAGAGCUUGCUCUUACGGGUGGCGAGUGGCGGACGGGCGAGGAAUACAUCGGAAUCUUCUUUUUCGUGGGGGAUAACGUAGGGAAACUUACGCUAAUACCGCAUACGACCUACGGGUGAAAGCAGGGGAUCUUCGGACCUUGCGCGAUUGAAUGAGCCGAUGUCGGAUUAGCUAGUUGGCGGGGUAAAGGCCCACCAAGGCGACGAUCCGUAGCUGGUCUGAGAGGAUGAUCAGCCACACUGGAACUGAGACACGGUCCAGACUCCUACGGGAGGCAGCAGUGGGGAAUAUUGGACAAUGGGCGCAAGCCUGAUCCAGCCAUACCGCGUGGGUGAAGAAGGCCUUCGGGUUGUAAAGCCCUUUUGUUGGGAAAGAAAAGCAGCAGGUUAAUACCCCGCUGUCCUGACGGUACCCAAAGAAUAAGCACCGGCUAACUUCGUG
rnacentral:rRNA from 1 species